rnacentral:rRNA from 1 species
CUGUUUGGACUAGGGGCCCUUCUCGGGUUACCGAAUUCAGAUAAACUCCGAAUGCCAUGUACUUAUACUCGGGAGUCAGACUGCGAGUGAUAAGAUCCGUAGUCGAAAGGGAAACAGCCCAGACCACCAGUUAAGGUCCCCAAAUAUAUGUUAAGUGGAAAAGGAUGUGGGGUUGCUUAGACAACCAGGAUGUUGGCUUAGAAGCAGCCACCAUUGAAAGAGUGCGUAAUAGCUCACUGGUCGAGUGACCCCGCGCCGAAAAUGUACCGGGGCUAAACAUAUUACCGAAACUGUGGAUGAACCUCUUUAGAGGUUCGUGGUAGGAGAGCGUUCUAAGGGCGGUGAAGUCAGACCGGAAGGACUGGUGGAGCGCUUAGAAGUGAGAAUGCCGGUAUGAGUAGCGAAAGAAGGGUGAGAAUCCCUUCCACCGAAUAUCUAAGGUUUCCUGAGGAAGGCUCGUCCGCUCAGGGUUAGUCGGGACCUAAGCCGAGGCCGAUAGGCGUAGGCGAUGG